rnacentral:rRNA from 1 species
UACGUAGGGCGCAAGCGUUAUCCGGAAUUAUUGGGCGUAAAGAGCUCGUAGGCGGUUUGUCGCGUCUGCCGUGAAAGCCCCGAGGCUUAACCUCGGGUCUGCAGUCGAUACGGGGCUAGCUAGAGUGUGGUAGGGGGAGAUCGGAAUUCCUGGUGUAGCGGUGAAAUGCGCAGAUAUCAGGAGGAACACCGGUGGCGAAGGCGGAUCUCUGGGCCAUUACUGACGCUGAGGAGCGAAAGCGUGGGGAGCGAACAGG